UACAGAGGGGGCAAGCGUUAUUCGGAAUUAUUGGGCGUAAAGGGCGCGUAGGCGGCUUGGCAAGUGGAUGGUGAAAUCCCUCGGCUUAACCGAGGAACUGCCGUCCAAACUGCUUCGCUUGAGACCGGGAGAGGUGAGUGGAAUUCCCAGUGUAGCGGUGAAAUGCGUAGAUAGUUGGGAGGAACACCAGUGGCGAAGGCGGCUCACUGGACCGGUACUGACGCUGAUGCGCGAAAGCUAGGGGGAGCAAACAGG
rnacentral:rRNA from 1 species